AUGCAUGUUGAAUCAGAUAACCCAGCUAGCUCAGGCUUACCAUCACCUGUCAAGGUAGCAGUUGCUGAGACGGUCGAUGGAGAUGCCGAUGUCGCCGGCGCAGGGGCGUUCCGCUUUCUUUGCCAGCUGCUGCAGCGGGAGGCGGGCCACAACGGCGCGUGCUUUGAGCCGGACGAGAGAACCGUCGUGUCUCCGGCCGGUGGCAGCGUUGGGGACUUGGGGACGAACGGUCAGCGCACACCAUGCCGCAGAGUUGGGGAGCAAUCGUCGCUCCUGGCCGUGGCUGUGAGGCCGGUUCAUGGCGCUGCAGCUCAUCAGGGAAGAGGAAACCAGAUCAGGCAGGAAAUUAAAGGGAGAAAAAGAGGAGGAGAGGGGCGGAUCAAGUUAAAUUAG
rnacentral:rRNA from 1 species